rnacentral:rRNA from 1 species
UACGAAGGGGGCUAGCGUUGCUCGGAAUUACUGGGCGUAAAGGGUGCGUAGGCGGACAGUUUAGUCGGGGGUGAAAGCCCGGGGCUCAACCUCGGAAUUGCCUUCGAUACUGGCUGUCUUGAGUACGGGAGAGGUGUGUGGAACUCCGAGUGUAGAGGUGAAAUUCGUAGAUAUUCGGAAGAACACCAGUGGCGAAGGCGACACACUGGCCCGUUACUGACGCUGAGGCACGAAAGCGUGGGGAGCAAACAGG